CUGCCGUAUUGCCUAUUUUUUCACAGUUUAGUGUAAAAUAAAUAAAGUAUCUCAUAGACACAUCUUACGGUACAUAUUGUAAUACCAGACAAAUAUAGUAAAUCUGAAAUUCUGCAAAUGUGCUUCAUGACAGCCCUAUGCAAAAUGUACUGUGGUACACUAUAGUACAACAUAAAGUAUGCAGACGCUUUUCGUUUGCAGUUCAGUAAGUGAAACAACAAUACAUGAGACUACCACUUGAAGUCUAGUGUAGCCCUAAAGCUGAUCCAUGGUGUCCUCUGAAUUUGGCGUCAAACUGUUAUGUUUGCUUUAGAACCCUCUCCACCAAUGGAUGAAAAGGAGUGGCAUAUCUUUAACGUGCCUUACAGCAAGGUGCUGCUCCUGGGGGCCAUCGCCGCGGCGACCGUCUUCGUUGUGACCAUUCUCAUCGUGCUGGUGUGUGUCGGAUGCCAAAGCUGUCCUAGGAAAGACAAAAGAAAAUACUCUUCAACCAAUACGCACACGCUAUACGCCACGGUAGAACGGUAGAACCAGAGGUAGAACAGAACGGGGCCAGCCGACACGGAGAUGGCACAUCACAGCCAGGAGGGCGGCAAGAGUGUGUUCAACCUGCAGUCCUUCCCAAAAGUACGUAUGACUGUUAUGCCCCCUGCUGCUCAUUCAGUGCAAGUGCAUGCAAUAGAGCCAUAGAGAACAGUAAUGUUUGGUGAAAAUAUUUUGAUAUUGACAAUGAUUUGAAUGACAAAUUGUAGUGUUGGUUUUCACGAUUGUUUUCCUUUGGCAUUAUUUAAUUCCAGCAGUUCGUUUAUUCACACACUCGUCACAGUCCUUCAAUUCUAGCAAAGUCAAAGUCAAAGUCAAAGUCAAAGUGUUUAUUGUCACAUGCACCAAAUUGCUUCAGCGCAGUGAAAUUCUUAAGACUUGGCAGGCAACAUCUACGCAGUAGACGGCAUACAAGAUACAAAAAAAUAACAUAUAACACUAUAACAUAUAACAUAUAACAAGUAACAACAAUUUGACCACAAGGGCAAAACCUGUGAAUAAUUUUUUGUCACCGUCUUUUUUUUUCAGUAUCUCACGUUGAUGGAUUUUAAGCAGAAAUGGCUGCAGGGAGAAGCUAAUCUACAUCUUAACAACCCUCUGAAGCCUGGUUAAUGUGUGUCUACAAGCCUUAUCUCAAGCAUACUGCGGGACAUUUCCUCAGUGUUCCACCAAGCUGAACAAGAUUGUGGUGUGCAAAAAAAAAAAGAAAAAAAAUCCGAAUGUGCCUAUAAGACAAAGGCAUAGUCACAGUCUACACCAUUCAUAAAACCUUCCCUAAUGGUGUAACUCACGUCUUUAUCCUCCGGCAUUGUCUGGGGCUCAUAUGAACAGUGGUGG
rnacentral:lncRNA from 1 species